rnacentral:piRNA from 1 species
UGGCAAGUUGUCCCCGUUAGUGGUGU